UUCGAUGUGGCGUAUCGGUAACAUAUCCGCCUCUCAUUAUCUGUUGCCAGAAUUUGACGCGGUUGCGCGGGGUUCGAUUCCCCGCAUCGGAA